rnacentral:rRNA from 1 species
UGCGGGCUCCUAUACUGCAGUCGAACGCUUUUUCUUUCACCGGAGCUUGCUCCACCGAAAGAAAAAGAGUGGCGAACGGGUGAGUAACACGUGGGUAACCUGCCCAUCAGAAGGGGAUAACACUUGGAAACAGGUGCUAAUACCGUAUAACACUAUUUUCCGCAUGGAAGAAAGUUGAAAGGCGCUUUUGCGUCACUGAUGGAUGGACCCGCGGUGCAUUAGCUAGUUGGUGAGGUAACGGCUCACCAAGGCCACGAUGCAUAGCCGACCUGAGAGGGUGAUCGGCCACACUGGGACUGAGACACGGCCCAGACUCCUACGGGAGGCAGCAGUAGGGAAUCUUCGGCAAUGGACGAAAGUCUGACCGAGCAACGCCGCGUGAGUGAAGAAGGUUUUCGGAUCGUAAAACUCUGUUGUUAGAGAAGAACAAGGAUGAGAGUAGAACGUUCAUCCCUUGACGGUAUCUAACCAGAAAGCCACGGCUAACUACGUGCCAGCAGCCGCGGUAAUACGUAGGUGGCAAGCGUUGUCCGGAUUUAUUGGGCGUAAAGCGAGCGCAGGCGGUUUCUUAAGUCUGAUGUGAAAGCCCCCGGCUCAACC